GAUGAACGCUGGCGGCGUGCUUAACACAUGCAAGUCGAACGAUGAAGCCCAGCUUGCUGGGUGGAUUAGUGGCGAACGGGUGAGUAACACGUGAGUAACCUGCCCUUAACUCUGGGAUAAGCCUGGGUAACUGGGUCUAAUACCGGAUAGGAGCGUCCACCGCAUGGUGGGUGUUGGAAAGAUUUAUCGGUUUUGGAUGGACUCGCGGCCUAUCAGCUUGUUUGUGAGGUAAUGGCUCACCAAGGCGACGACGGGUAGCCGGCCUGAGAGGGUGACCGGCCACACUGGGACUGAGACACGGCCCAGACUCCUACGGGAGGCAGCAGUGGGGAAUAUUGCACAAUGGGCGCAAGCCUGAUGCAGCGACGCCGCGUGAGGGAUGACGGCCUUCGGGUUGUAAACCUCUUUCAGUAGGGAAGAAGCGAAAGUGACGGUACCUGCAGAAGAAGCACCGGCUAACUACGUG
rnacentral:rRNA from 1 species